rnacentral:rRNA from 1 species
UGAAGUGGCCAUACCUGCUUGUCAAUGUCCUAUUUCAUCAGACACUAAGCAAGUCUGGGCCUGGUUAAUACUUGGAUGGGAGACCGCUGGGAAUAGCAGGUGUUACAGUGG